GCGAGUAUAGUUUAGUGGUAAAA
rnacentral:tRNA from 2 species